UAAUAGUGGUGAGGGAAAUUUCUAAGCAUACCUUUAAAUCUUUCCCAAGCUCGAUAAAGAUUUUCUCCCUCUUUUUUCCUGAAACUCAUAAUCUCACUUCUCAAGUG